rnacentral:lncRNA from 1 species
ACGGAACGAUGGACAAGGCUUAGAUUUCGUGAGUAUUUGAGAGAAAUAGACUUGAAGAGAUGUUUAAUUAGAUAGAACAAGCUGGAACUACAAUGAUUGGUGUAUAAACCCUAGCUCUAAUCUCUAAGGCUUGAAGUGUCGAUCCCCUGCUUUAGGGUUUAGGCUCCCCUUAUAUAGUUGUUUUAGGUCGGCCCUUAGUCGGUCGGAGUAGAUUAAACUCUUCAAUAUUCGGAAAUAUGGAAGGUUCUCCUUAUCGGAAGUUUUCCUUUUCCCGAAGGAAGGGGGUGGUCCCUCGGACCGGACCCAGAGUACUUCCUAGCGAGGACCCGGGGAGUAUCCUAGCGGGGACCCAGAG